AAAAAUAUGAGUUUGAUCCUGGCUCAAAACGAACGUUAGUUAUAUGCUUAAAAAAUGCAAGUCGAACGUAGCUUGCUUCCCAAUACAUCCAUGUGGGGGAAGAAGGGAAAGAGGAAUGACCCCCUCCUAGCACGUGCUCACUCACUCAAAUGAUAUUCAAGUGGUGUGUCGGGCGUGGGGAAUGACAAGAAAAGUGGUGAACGGGUGCGUAACGCAUGGGAAUCUGCCAAACAGUUCACUCCAAAUCCUGAAUAAUUCAUAAAGAAAGCUAAUUUGCAUUUUUUGAUGAGCUCGCGUAGUAUCAAGUAGUUUGUUAGGUAAAGGAUGAACAAUCCAAUGAUGCUUAGUUAGUCUUUUUGGAUGAUCAACCACAUUGGGACUAAUACAUGACCUAGACUCCCUUGGGGGGAAGCAGUGGGGAAUAUUGGAUAAUGGGCUCACGCCCGAUCCAACAAUAUCACGUGGGUGAAUAAGGGCAUUGUUUCUUGUCAAGAUAUUUCAUCGAGUUUCGAUCAUGACAGGACUCGAGGAAGAAGCCUCGGCUAACUCUGUGCCAACAACCAUGAUAAGACAGGGGGGUAAUUUUUAUUCGAAGUGACUGGGCGUAAAGGGCACAUAGGUGGUGAAAAGGGUGGAAAGUGAAAGUCACCAAAGCACUCGCGGGGUACUUUCUUUACCAUUUCACUUGAGUGAGAUAGGGGAGACUGGAAUUUCAUUUGGAUGGAUCAAAUCCUAAGAUAUACGAAGGAACACCAACCGUGAAGGCAACUCUUUGGGUCCCCACUGACGCUGGGGUACAAAAGCAUAGGGAGAAAACAUGAUCAGGUAACCUGGUAGUCUAUGCCAUAAGCGUUGAGUGUUCACCCUUGGUAUACUUACCUACUAGGUAGGAUUAGGAUCAGGGGCCCAGCUAACGCAUGAAACACUUCACCUGGGGAGUACGGUUGCAAGAAUGAAACUCAAAGGAAUUGAUGGGGGCCUGCACAAGCAAUGGAGCAUGUUGUUUAAUUUGAUACAAUGUGCAGAACCUUACCAUCCCUUGACAUAUGAACAAGUGCGCAUGUCGCUAAUGGGAUGGUGUGAAAAUUCAUACAUGUGUUGCAUGUCUAUCAUCAUCUCGUGUCAUGAGAUGUUUGGUUAAGUCCUAUAAUGAGAAAAAACCUCAUUUUUUGUUGCUAAGACAUGCACCGACAGAUCAAUGUCAUCGCCCCUUCUCAAUGAAUCAAUAGGGCGAGGCAAACACCUCCUUUUUAUUGAUGACACUCCUAUGAAGGAAGGUGCAUGCUACACUCACAAGAGACUGCCAGUGAUAUGUUGGAGGAAGGUGGGGAUGAUGUUAAGUUUGCAUGGCCCUUAUGGGUUGGCCCACACAUGUG
rfam:Picea glauca, whole genome shotgun sequence.